CUCCUGUCCCGGGACCCACCCAGGCGGAGGCAAGGGCAGGGGCGCUGGGGGCCCAGAGAGAGGGCGCCGCGAUGGAUGAAUGAGCUGUUUCCAGCAUUCCUGUGCGUCUGCUGGUUGUAGCUGCAGUCAAGAUUUGGGGCGGUCUCGUUUGUUGUGGGUGGGUGAUCUGGGAUCACGAUUUUCUCACUCUGUGCCCGGAAAUCAUGCCAUCUCUCGCCCAACGCUGUAUUUUAUAGGCUUCAACUCAAAAUUUUCCUUCAUGGCACAGUGGAAAGCUUUGAAGACGGCGGUUCUGGGGCUGAAUAUGAAGGCAACUCGGACUAAGAAGACGACUGCUUUCCAACUGCCCUCCCGUCCUGCAGCCGCCUGAUUUGAGGAAGGGGCUGGGAUCCUUCCCCUUGCCCUCUGGUUGUUCUUGGAGUUACAGCAGCCCCGCGGCAGCUCUGCCCCCUAGUGCACAUGUGAGGCAGCGCGCCCUUCUCCAAUCCAGAAGCCUCGUCGCGGUGCUGCCAGCAAGGGAGUUUUU
rnacentral:lncRNA from 1 species